rnacentral:lncRNA from 1 species
AAAGUCCGGUUAUACUUGGAUCCAGCAUGAGGAGAGACCGUCGAUUGAUCCGGACUUGUUGGAGUAUUACCGGAGCUUUACCGAGCCGCUUUCAUCGAGGUCGAUUUCUUUCCACCCGGAGAGAGUUGGUGCAGACACCAGUGCCAGGUCAGCUGGUCGCCACAGGAUCCAGCCAGCUCAGCGGGUCUCGACCGAUUCAGCCAGCCUGAUUUUAUUUUAGAUUGAUUUAUUUUAGUUGGAUUUAUUUUAUGUUGAUUGGGUUUGUUUGCAUAUUGUCACUUGGGUUUAUUUGCAUAUGUCAUUUUAGGGCCUUUUUGGAAUUGUUUUAUUUGUAGGGGUUUAUUUGUUAUUUUGUGACCCCAUAUAUAUGGGUCCAUCUUCAUGUUUAGGGUUUUUGAUGAAUGAUUAAU